rnacentral:rRNA from 1 species
UUGAAANNAGCANCUNCGGUGUUCGAGNNGUAAUUUGAAGAUGGUAACCUNGGGUUUGGCUCUNGUCUAUGUUCCUUGGAACAGGACGUCAUAGAGGGUGAGAAUCCCGUCUGAUGAGAUGCCCAUUCCUAUGUAAGGUGCUAUCGAAGAGUCCAAGUUGUUUGGGAAUGCAGCUCUAAGUGGGUGGUAAAUUCCAUCUAAAGCUAAAUAUUGGCGAGAGACCGAUAGCGAACAAGUACAGUGAUGGAAAGAUGAAAAGAACUUUGAAAAGAGAGUGAAAAAGUACGUGAAAUUGUUGAAAGGGAAGGGCAUUAGAUCAGACUUGGUGUUUUACGAUUAUCUUCUCUUCUUGAGUUGUGCACUCGUAUUUCACUGGGCCAGCAUCGAUUCGGAUGGCAAGAUAAUGGCAGUUGAAUGUGGCUUCACUUCGGUGGAGUGUUAUAGCUUCUGCUGAUAUUGCCUGUCUGGAUCGAGGGCUGCGUCUUUUGACUAGGAUGCUGGCGUAAUGAUCUAAUGCCGCCC